CAUUCUACAUUUUUACUGGCCCUGAAAGAAAUAUCAUAUCAUCACAAAAGACAAAAAAAGCAGGAAAAAUGAUUACCCAGCUAGCCACUGCCACUGUAUGUUGUGCCAUUAUCAGUAAAGCUAGACCAGGGGUCAUCAACUACAUUUUUACAAGGGCCAGAAUUUUUUUAAGCAAACACUCCGGGGGCCGGACUUUCAAAUAAA